GACGAACGCUGGCGGCGGGCUUAACACAUGCAAGUCGAACGGAAAGGCCCUGCUUUUGUGGGGUGCUCGAGUGGCGAACGGGUGAGUAACACGUGAGUAACCUGCCCUUGACUUUGGGAUAACUUCAGGAAACUGGGGCUAAUACCGGAUAGGAGCUCCUGCUGCAGGGUGGGGGUUGGAAAGUUUCGGCGGUUGGGGAUGGACUCGCGGCUUAUCAGCUUGUUGGUGGGGUAGUGGCUUACCAAGGCUUUGACGGGUAGCCGGCCUGAGAGGGUGACCGGCCACAUUGGGACUGAGAUACGGCCCAGACUCCUACGGGAGGCAGCAGUGGGGAAUAUUGCACAAUGGGCGGAAGCCUGAUGCAGCAACGCCGCGUGCGGGAUGACGGCCUUCGGGUUGUAAACCGCUUUCGCCUGUGACGAAGCGUGAGUGACGGUAAUGGGUAAAGAAGCACCGGCUAACUACGUG
rnacentral:rRNA from 1 species